GAUCAUGGCUCAGGAUGAACGCUAGCUACGGGCUUAACACAUGCAAGUCGAGGGGCAGCAUUUUAGUUUGCUUGCAAACUAAAGAUGGCGACCGGCGCACGGGUGAGUAACACGUAUCCAACCUGCCGAUAACUCGGGGAUAGCCUUUCGAAAGAAAGAUUAAUAUCCGAUAGUAUAUUAAAACCGCAUGGUUUUACUAUUAAAGAAUUUCGGUUAUCGAUGGGGAUGCGUUCCAUUAGUUUGUUGGCGGGGUAACGGCCC
rnacentral:rRNA from 1 species